rnacentral:rRNA from 1 species
AUUGAACGCUGGCGGCAUGCCUUACACAUGCAAGUCGAACGGCAGCACGGGAGCAAUCCUGGUGGCGAGUGGCGAACGGGUGAGUAAUAUAUCGGAACGUGCCCAGUGAUGGGGGAUAGCCCGGCGAAAGCCGGAUUAAUACCGCAUACGACCUACGGGUGAAAGCAGGGGAUCGCAAGACCUUGCGUCAUUGGAGCGGCCGAUAUCAGAUUAGCUGUUGGUGGGGUAAAAGCCUACCAAGGCGACGAUCUGUAGCUGGUCUGAGAGGACGACCAGCCACACUGGGACUGAGACACGGCCCAGACUCCUACAGGAGGCAGCAGUGGGGAAUUUUGGACAAUGGGCGCAAGCCUGAUCCAGCCAUGCCGCGUGC